CGGUGACAGUAGGCAGUCGCUCCGUAUAUGAAUGCGAUAUCAUAUUUGUCGUAUUUAUACACGGGGAGGAAAGUCCGGACUCCGCAGGGCAGAGAGUCCUCCUUAUGGAGGAUACCGCGGACUAUAUUCCGCGGGAAGGAAAGCGCCACAGAAAACAAACCGUCAUCAUACCGCAAGGCAGGAUGAUAAGGGUGAAAAGGCGAGGUAAGAGCUCACCGGAUGACCGUGCAAGCGGCAUCGCAGGGCAAGCCCCUCUCGGAGCAAGACCAAAUAGAGGACAAUGCCGCGGCCCGCGGCGCUUGAGUCCCGGGUACUGGUCGCAAAGACAGAUGAUUGCCAUCCCGUUUGCGCGGGAGACAGAAUCCGGCUUAUUCUGUCGCUGCCAU
rnacentral:RNase_P_RNA from 2 species